rnacentral:Y_RNA from 1 species
GGCUGGUCCAAAGGUAGUGAAUUAUUAUCUCGCUUGAUUGUUCCCAGUCAGUUACAGAUUGAACUCCUUGUUCUACUAUUUUCCCCUCUUUUUACCGCUGCAUUUGACUAGUCUUAA